rnacentral:tRNA from 1 species
UGCCGAGUGGACAACCUGGAAAGUCGCUGUGACUCUGCAUCACGGAGAUGCUGGUAACUCCUGCGGAGACGCUACGCGAACGAAUCCAGCCUCGGCAUCCA